AGUGAACGCUGGCGGUAGGCCUAACACAUGCAAGUCGAACGGCAGCACAGUAAGAGCUUGCUCUUACGGGUGGCGAGUGGCGGACGGGUGAGGAAUACAUCGGAAUCUACUUUUUCGUGGGGGAUAACGUAGGGAAACUUACGCUAAUACCGCAUACGACCUACGGGUGAAAGCAGGGGAUCUUCGGACCUUGCGCGAUUGAAUGAGCCGAUGUCGGAUUAGCUAGUUGGCGGGGUAAAGGCCCACCAAGGCGACGAUCCGUAGCUGGUCUGAGAGGAUGAUCGGCCACACUGGAACUGAGACACGGUCCAGACUACUACGGGAGGCAGCAGUGGGGAAUAGUGGACAAUGGGCGCAAGCCUGAUCCAGCCAUACCGCGUGGGUGAAGAAGGCCUUCGGGUUGUAAAGCCCUUUUGUUGGGAAAGAAAAGCAGCAGGUUAAUACCCCGCUGUUCUGACGGUACCCAAAGAAUAAGCACCGGCUAACUUCGUG
rnacentral:rRNA from 1 species